rnacentral:rRNA from 1 species
UGGGGGAUAUUGGACAAUGGGGGCAACCCUGAUCCAGCGACGCCGCGUGAGGGAAGAAGGUUUUCGGAUUGUAAACCUCUGUUGACGGAGAAAAAGAUGAUGGUAUCCGUUUAGAAAGCCACGGCUAACUACGUGCCAGCAGCCGCGGUAAUACGUAGGUUGCAAGCGUUGUCCGGAUUUACUGGGUGUAAAGGGCGUGUAGGCGGAGGAGCAAGUCAGAUGUGAAAUCCCGGGGCUUAACCCCGGAACUGCAUUUGAAACUGUUUCCCUUGAGUAUCGGAGAGGCAAGCGGAAUUCCUAGUGUAGCGGUGAAAUGCGUAGAUAUUAGGAGGAACACCAGUGGCGAAGGCGGCUUGCUGGACGACAACUGACGCUGAGGCGCGAAAGCGUGGGAGCAAACAGGAUUAGAUACCCUGGUAGU